rnacentral:lncRNA from 1 species
CUAGAAUUUGGAUGAAAAAAAAUAUGUAAUUUAAAGUGAUAAUGAGAGAGUUAUGGUUGUUUGAAGUUAGGAUGUAUGUUUGGUACCUACUAUUAUUCUUUUAAGCAUAUAAAGAGUUGUAGAAAAGCUUUGAGGAAUCAAAAUGUGAAGUUAAAAAUUUGAUUCAAAGAACUACAUUUUAUGUAAAAACAUUGAUAUAUUCUAAUCUAAAAUAAAGAAGAGUAAUUGUUGGAAGUUAGUGUUAAAAAUUAGGAUUUAUAAAUGAGUUGUUUUUUUAUGAAGGUUUUGAUUUUUGCUAUAUCUUGAGUUUUUAGACGAAUUUUUGGCUAAAAA